GAUGAACGCUAGCGACAGGCUUAACACAUGCAAGUCGAGGGGCAGCAUAGAAGUAGCAAUACUUUGGUGGCGACCGGCGCACGGGUGAGUAACGCGUAUGCAACCUACCUAUCAGAGGGGAAUAACCCGGCGAAAGUCGGACUAAUACCGCAUAAAACAGGGGCACCGCAUGGUGAUAUUUGUUAAAGAAAUUCGCUGAUAGAUGGGCAUGCGUUCCAUUAGGUAGUUGGUGAGGUAACGGCUCACCAAGCCGACGAUGGAUAGGGGAACUGAGAGGUUGGUCCCCCACACUGGUACUGAGACACGGACCAGACUCCUACGGGAGGCAGCAGUGAGGAAUAUUGGUCAAUGGGCGGGAGCCUGAACCAGCCAAGUCGCGUGAAGGAAGAAGGAUCUAUGGUUCGUAAACUUCUUUUGCAGGGGAAUAAAGUGCAGGACGUGUCCUGUUUUGUAUGUACCCUGAGAAUAAGGAUUGGCUAACUCCGUGCCAGCCGCCGCUGUAA
rnacentral:rRNA from 1 species